UAUUUGCUUUUUCUGUGUUGCUUUCUCACCAUCUUCUUUGUUCCUCGAUUCAUCUUCAAUUCUUACUCAAAUCUUCACUUCAUACAUCAAUUUCUUUUAAUCUCAGUUCUAUUAAUCUAAACUCUCCAUCGAUAUGUUAUAGCAACCUGAAAAAAAAAACAAAAAAAAAACAAAAAAAAAGAUGCUUUCGGGUAGUUCUCAUUGACGAUCGACUUCCAUAUGUUUGGGUUUCAGUCGAAAUUUUUUCGAUUGGGUUAAUUCCUUCUACAAUUCGAUGAUGUGGUUGGUGCUCACAUCAAAUGACAAUCAUACCAAUGGGGGGUUAUUGAUUGUAACAGAGAUAAAUAACAAUCAGAUAAGUACUUUGGAGAUUGUUUAAUUUAUAAUAGCUAUAAGUUAUUGGUUAUGUGAAAUGAAAUGCUGAUUACGGUUGUUAUAUUCUUAUGGGUUAUCUGCUAAACAUCAAGAAAUUACACUUUACAAAAGGCUGAGAAGAGUCAUCAUGAUUGACACCACUCAUAUCUAAAGUAUGUUUUAAAGGUAUGAAGGACACGGACAUGCACUUUCCAA